rnacentral:lncRNA from 1 species
CACACACGGUGUGUUUGUGAGCUGUGCAGAGUGGGGUCUCCCUGGCAAUGGCCACAGCCUCCAGGGGCGCUGACACCUCCCGUCUAACUGGUAGACAGUUUCUGCCUCUUCUUGUUUGGGGAUUGGAGAGGGAAGUGCGUCUGGAUGACUACUAAGAUGAGGAGGCUGAGGCCUAGUGCUCCUAGCGGGCUUGGUCAAGAGCAGGAGGCGGAGGUGGUGGAAGGCUGUUUCCCUGCGGUGAGUGCUCACACGGUUGGCG